UGUUAAAAUUCUCAUCCAUUUAUAUUGUUAAAAACUGGCAUGACUGACAGAAUAAUCAAAUAGUGACAAGUGGAGAGCCACAUAAACCUCAUAUUGAUAUUCAAUGAUCAAUUUCUAAUAAUAGAAAUAGAUGAAAUUUUUAACA
rfam:Gossypium hirsutum cultivar TM-1 unplaced genomic scaffold scaffold3328.1, whole genome shotgun sequence